GAUGAACGCUAGCGGCAGGCCUAACACAUGCAAGUCGAGGGGCAGCAUAAAAUAAACUUGUUUAUUUGGUGGCGACCGGCGCACGGGUGCGUAACGCGUAUGCAACCUACCUUACACAGGGGGAUAGCCCGGAGAAAUUCGGAUUAAUACCCCAUAGCACUAUCGGAUGGCAUCAUUUGAUAUUUAAAGCUUUGGCGGUGUAAGAUGGGCAUGCGUCCUAUUAGCUAGUUGGUGAGGUAACGGCUCACCAAGGCUACGAUAGGUAGGGGGCCUGAGAGGGUGGUCCCCCACACUGGUACUGAGACACGGACCAGACUCCUACGGGAGGCAGCAGUGGGGAAUUUUGGACAAUGGGCGAAAGCCUGAUCCAGCCAUGCCGCGUGCAGGAUGAAGGCCUUCGGGUUGUAAACUGCUUUUGUACGGAACGAAAAGGACUGCCCUAAUACGGUGGUCCCAUGACGGUACCGUAAGAAUAAGCACCGGCUAACUACGUGCCAGCCGCCGCAGUAAUAC
rnacentral:rRNA from 1 species